rnacentral:snRNA from 1 species
AAAUGACUUGAGAGGUGUA